UUGUAUACAUUGCAAAGUGAUCACCUUAAUAAGUGUAGUUAACAUCUGUCACCAUACGUAGUUACAGAAUUUUUCUUACGCUGAGAAGUUUUAGGAUCUACUCUUUUAACAACUUUCUUAUAUAUCAUACAGCAGUGUUAACUGUAGCCACUACGUUGUACAUUACAUCCCCGUGAUGCCUCUAUUUUAUAACUGGAAAUUUGUACCUUUUGACCCCCUUCACACAUUUUGCCCAUUUGCUUCUUUUUUUGUGGGGUCUGUUGACUAGUUUAACUGGCAGAUUUGUCAUUUGUUAAAGGCUUUGCCUGUACUUGGAGCACUUCUCUGAGAUCACUUUUAUUGGCUUCAUGAAAUGAUGUAACCUGUAGAAGAUUUGCAAUUUGUCUUAGCAGUUGACUUGUUUUGAAUUCAGAAUUUAAUAUGGAUGUUUGUAAUUGGCAAGGAAUAUUUAAGUGAAGGGUAAUAUUAUAAAUGUUGAGUUCAUUAGUAAAUAUUUUUUGUUGUGAUAACUUUUACUGUUUUACUUUUCUAAGCAACCUGUUGCCUCUGGGGACUUGCGGACUGAGUACUUGGAUAAUGAGAAUAUCCUAUCGUUAGUUGUCACCCACUCACCAGAGUCAUGCCCUAACAGGGAAAUGUGGAACAAAGCUCUCCUCAGGGAGAAGGGAAACGGAUAACGUGUCAUCUUCUAGGACUCAAUCCUUUGUGUACAUCAAAGAUGAAACAGAAGAGAACAUGAAAUGCCUUCUUCAAAUUUCUCUUCCAUCCUUGCUCAGCUGAAGGUAUUUUCUCAGCAGUGCUCACAUGAAAGGGCACAAGAUUUGCUGGAAGGAUCUCUGUCACUCUCUGGAAGGAAGCCCAUAUCUCAUUACCAGUAAGAGAGCAUCAUCUUACCCACUCAUGUUUUCUGAAGGAAAAAAAUAACUUUUUCUACUUCCUCAAUGGGAACAUAAUGUUCUCUCCACCCACUCCCCAGACCCCCUCUCCAUCCUCAGCCAAAGGAUCCAAGGAGAUCUUGAACUAUGUUAAUGUCUUCAUCCUCAUAAAGAUUUAAUUUACUGGGUUCUGGGCAUUGAUCCUGAGUUUAAUCCACUGUUAAAAUAUUUUGAUUGAUGGUGCCUUGAUGGGUCACCUAACUAUCUAAUUCUGCCUCUUCUUCCUUUUUUUCUUGAUUUUCUCUCAUGAAUAGAUAUUGAGGACUGUUGUGUGCCAGGCACUAUGCUGGGUGCUGGGGUUCCAAUGCCGACAUCCUCUCAGUACAAUGGAAGCAUCAUAAGGGAGUGACUGGGUCUGAUUUAUGUUGAUUGGGAAUAUUUCUCUCCCUUUGAAACUUAUUCCUGCCUUGUAAGGCACAACUUGUACAUCAGUAGUGGUUUUCAUAGAAAAGUUUAAGGAAUGUUAGCCCUUGCCGGACAUUUUAUUUCACCUGUGCUGUUCGACUUCUCAUUUACUGUCCUUUGUUUGACGGGGAUCUUUGUGAGCAUCAGCAGUUCCCAGGAGUAGGCGCUCAGAUUAGAGCUGCAGAAGUGACUCUGAAACCAUGGUCCUGCGUGCCGAGUCCCAGCAGCUUUGGAGGCAACUGGGGCUCAGUCUAUGCCUAGAAACAGCUCAGGGGAUUGUAUAUCACACCACGACACUCCUUCUUCCAAAAGCAAUCCCCAACACCCAGAGCUUUUCGACCCUCUCCUCUGCUCACCACUUUCCCUCUCCGGUCUUUUCUUACCUAGGCCACAGGCGUGUUAGUCCAGUCUUCUCUGCUCCUGGAUCUUUCCCUUCCUCUCACGCAUGUAUCUCUAUUUCUUCAGGAAAGCAAUUUAGCUCUGACCUGCAUGCUCCAGUCUUGCAUCCCCACUCCCAACACUUAACAAGAUGAUCUUCAAGUAAGUUAAAAUGAUAACAAAACUCAAAAUCCUUGCACCACAGACAGUGACCUUAUGGAUAGCCAACAAAAGAUGCUUCAGUUUGCAACCGUGGCCCUAGUGUCUUCUCUGCAUCCACUCAAUCAUUCAUUCAUUCACUGAUAUUGUGUAGUGGGAUCAUUCCUCUAGAAGCAGAGCUGGAAACAAGGGCUUGGGAGCAGGGAAUGUAUUUGGGAGUUGACCUUAGGAAGCAGGAGUGACGGAGUGAGAACAGUGAGCCUGGCACGGAGAAAAAGCCGGUAAAGGUACAUUAUUGAGCUGGUGAUUGCUGUGGACACCUGGGGCCCAAUCUCGAGGGGACUCUCCAAGGAAUCGUGUAGAACGUCCCUCAGACCUGUCCUUCUGUAGGAUGGUGGCAGGGGGGUACAUUUAUCCACCAACUCCCAACCUUCUCCGGUGGAAGGUUGCUCUUAGGGGUCGUCACACCCCCACCUUCUGGGCGGCCCCUUCCUUGGCUGAGCUGAACAAGCUACUGCAGAAGGAAGCUGUCAGCAGGCGUGGAACUGUCCACCACAGCUGCGGCUGAAGUCAGAGAAGGGCUGAGCGCACUCAGCCUGGGGCCCCAACAGUGGCUGCUACAAAGAACAUUCAUCACAGUUGUAUUGUACUCAUUCCUUCUUGCUUGCUUUCUCCCAUGGAAUAGUGAAUUUCGCAUGGACAAGCACGGGAGCUUCUUCUUGUUUCCCCAGUGCCUAGCACAGUGCCAGACUCGGGGGAGCCCUUCAGGUCUCAUUUGCUGAAUGAAGAAGGAACUAACGAAAGAACAAUGAACUGAAACCAGAAACCUGAGUUCUAGUCCCCACUGGGUCACUAAUUUCUGUGUGACCUUGAUUAAAUCAAAACCUUGCAUAUAGGGGUCUGGUUACUUAGGAACUUACAAAUUUGUAUUUUUUAAAAAAAAUCUCAAUAUCAAAGCAUUACUGUACAAGGAGAAAAUUUCCAUCAGUGACUGAGCUCAGAAUAAAACAUUUUUCUCUAACUUCGUGGCUCUCUCUAAUUCUAGGUUUGGAUCACUCCGAGGUGUAAGACGAACACUGUUGAAGCAGUAAGAGCGUGUUACAAAGGUAGUUACCCGAGAAGCAUUUCGUUUUCUUCAUGAUACAUGGCUUGGAAAACCUUCACUAACACUCGCAAGUGAAGAGCGAUAGGAUGCUAAUUUCCCACAGAUUCAUUAUCACCAUGAAAUGAAAUUUUGGAACACAUCAGAGGUUUUGACUGGUAGUUUGGAUACGCUAACUAGCCUACCUUUUCCCGGAUCUGCUUUGGCUGCUUUAUCUCCAAGACUAAAUCAGCCUGCUUAAAUUUCCCUGGUACAUAAGUCUCCACGACAAACACUAGUGUUGGAGGCGUGACAUGUCUUCCCAGGGGAGCCCCAGCCCCUGUUGGGCAUCCCUGCAGCAGAAUAGCUGAGUCAUGGGCAGAACAGCGCCCCCUUGGUCAGUAUGCUGCAGUGCGUGCCUGGACAGGAAAGAGUGUUUAGCUCGAACGAAUUUCCCUGGAGGCAGGGCGAUAAGUAACCAUUCAAGGAAAUGUAUAAGGAAGUAAGUUCGCACAAUUGGCAUGCAGUAGAUGGCUUGGCUGUGUUUCUUAAGUGGGAAAGCAGAAGAAAGAGAGCCUUUGAGAAGAAAGUUCCAUCUGAUGAAUGGGGGUAUUUAUUCACCAACUACUGUCCUCGUUGGAUGAGACGUUCCCCCUGGAGGUGUUAAAUUCCUGGCAUUUCUGAACGCCUUGCUGAAAGGCUAUGUAAGCUCCCCUGGUGUGGGAGAAAACUCCCAGGCAGAGAAGGAGAGAGGUUGGGCAGGUAAGAUGGGAAGAUGUCAGCAUGUGGGCAGACUGGGCACUGCAGCAGGGGUGGACCAAGAGGAUGCGGAGCAACGGGCAGUAGCAUGAGGAGACAGAGCGGCCAAUAUCUAGAUGCAUUGUCUCAUUUAAUCUUCCCAGUAAUGCCAUGAGGUAGGUACUAGUGAGAGUUGGGACUAGGGUAAGGUGAGUGAUUGCCAAAAAAACUCAGUAAUCAAGAUAAAUAAUAUUUUAAUGCAAUACUUAAAAAACUCGAAAUUAAUGAAAAACAUUAUGCUAAACAAAAUGCCAGCAUUUAAAAUAAAGACAGAAUCCAACCCUGCUCUUGCAUGACCCUGCUUCCCUCACCUCACCCUAACGCUGGCCCUGGUUCCAAUAAAACUUUAUUUACAAAAAACAGUGGCUGUCAAUUGCCAAUUCAAUUUCUUAAAACAUGGCAUUAAAAUAAGAUGUAUCUUCACUGCUGAGUUUUUGGUGCCUUCUUAAAUUUUGCUCCUGAGGCUAGUGCAUCACUUGCUAUACUCCACUCCCAGCCUAGAUACUGAUAUUAUCUCCAUCUUCCAGAUGAAGAAGCUGAGGCUCAGAAACCUGAAGCAGAUUGCUCCAAGUCACAUAGGUGACCCCAGAUGACUCCAGAGUGAGCGCUGUCAACCACCAAUGCAGACCUCUCUCCCAAUCACUGCCCUUUUGGUAGCUGUGUCAAGAAAGCGUAGAAGUGGUGCACAGUUUCUCACUUCUGGUCACCCUCCUAAACUUUCUCCUGCUUUUGGUAAAUUUGUGGUUAGUCCGUGCAUAACUUGGCUGGAAAAAGUAUGGCAGAGUUAAAAUGAUAAAGAAGUUCUAACCGGCUGCUUAUCACACUCCAUGUAGAUGCAGCAAACUGAAAACUUGCCAAUUAUACAAAGGUUUAUUGACAUGUUGCAGCUGCAUGUGUUUAUUUCACAACUGGGGAGUAAAACCUGGGACUCUGUGUGUGCUGUAAAAAGAAAAGUUGGACAUUUUCUAAUUUUUCAAUACCUAAUAAUUAUACAAGAAUGUACCUGAUUUUUCCAUUAGUUAAAUGGAGUUGCCAAAAAGAACUAAUGAAUAUUGCAUGGUUGAGUUCUGUCACUUUUUAAAAGAGGGACUGGACAUGAAAUCAUUUCUUUUAAUACAGAGACAAAGACAAGUGACUCCGGAAUUUAAUGAAAGUGCCAGAUUGGAAAGCUUGCUUCCGCUGCCUCGCCUCCUCUCCACAUGGAUUUGCAGAAGGCUCUCAAUAUGGGUUUGUGGAUUGAUUGACAGCUGAACUGAUGGUCUGUUGGGCACAGAGCUUUAGGAUACACAGCCGGUAAAUUGUACCGGUUGGUACAAAGCACCUUAUAACAUACCCAGCUCUUUUGUUUUGGGUCUUCACAAAUGAUAUAAGUAUGAGCCAGGUUUUUUUCCUACUGAAAACAUCAAAGAUGUUGCCAUGAAAUUCCAGCAGACUUGGCAAGAACUCCUCUGGUUUGGCUGUUUUCAUGGCAAGACUUGCUAUUGAUGGUCACCAACUCUUACUCAUUAUGACUAUGUCAUGCCUUUGUUUUCCCAAUGAUGGGUGUGAAAACAUUUCCCUCUUGAUAUUCAGGGAGUGACAUUUUUAUGCUGCCCAUUUGGAUAGGCAUUUAUUUGCUACUCUGCUUAAAAUAAUUCUACAGGCUCAAAAGACAGCUGCUUUUGUUAUGUCUUGUCUGGAGAUACCAAAGUGGACAGAUGUCCACUGGAUGACCACAGGUUGUGUUUAAGAUCCAGCUUCUGAGAAGUAGGACAGCUUACAGUCAUUAUCCAUUGAGUUCCUAAAAUUAAUUUGAAAUGUUGGCCAUUAAAGGGACAGAGAAUAAAAGAAUUCUAAUGCAUUUUAGGAGCAUACAAUUAGAAUGGUGUAGUUUGAUUGACAGCAGUCUAAUGUUAUUAGCAAUUCUUAUCUAGUUAAAAAAGGGAGGGGACCCUGUUUCUUCGAAGUCACAAUCUUCAUUUUUGUACUUUGUAAAUUAUUAACCAUUCUAUUAGAAAAAUAAUGAGGAGCUGCAGAUUAAAUGACAAAGGCAUAGUUAGUAAAAAACGCCUUUUGAUAAUUUUGACCUUGGAAAUGUGAUGGUAUGGAUUAGAAAUAGACUGGUUGGUUCCUCAUCUUAGUUCUUUUUACUGCAACAUGAGGUAGGCCUGACACUAAACUCAAUACAAAAACAGUAAGCCUAUUCCAUAGCCUAGAAUUAAGGACAUUAUAAAUGUAUGGGAAGUGUCAGAUUCAAUUUAAUUAUCUGCUGAAUGACUACUGUGGGAAGAAUAUUGUGCUGUGAUCUUGAGAACAAAGGAAAUAUAAGAGCUGAUGAUUGCCAAUGGGGAGCUUACGGUCUGUCUAGGGAAACAGAAGUAUAUUGUAGAUGUGCAGUGCUCUAUGGCUGCAAUAUAUAUGGGUAAAACAAAGUGCUAAAUUGUAUACUGAAGAUAAGUUGAGAAUAAUGGUAUUUUUUAAAAGGUGCUAAUUGUGAUAAUCACUAAUUAAUGGAGUUUAAAUGGAAAGAGUAAUAGUAGCCAUUCAAGAAAUAUGAAAUAUGAUAUGAUAUGCUUGCCAUGUGUAGGGCACUUGUUACUUACCUUAUGGCAAUUCCUUGUCUGUCUCCCUUUCAGCUAUCUUUUAUCUCUGGCCAUUAAAUGUUGGAGUUCCUCAAGACUCAGUCCUGAGUCAUUUCCUUUCCUCAGUCUUUACUUUUUCCAUCUGGAAAAUCUCAUCCAUGUCCAUGGCUUCAAUAACCAAUGACCUCUAAUAAGCAGAUGUUUCAUAAAAUUUACAUUUUCAGCCCAGAUUGCUCCUCUAGCUCCAGACCCAUAUGCCCAGCUGCUUCAUGGAUAUUGCUUCUUGGAUAUCUCAAAGGAUAAAAACGCGCGUACGCUAAACGGGGGGUUAUGAUUUAGUUUCCUUCCAAAUUUAGUCUGCUUCUAAUGUUUUCUAGCUUGGGAAAUGGCCCCAACAUCUAUCUGACUUAUUCAAGGCAGAUGCAAGCCAGAAACUGGAGGUCACUGCUGAUGCUGCCAUCCUUUCACUAUGCUGUCCAAUUUGUUAUUAAGGCCUGUCAAUUUUACCUCCUAUAUAUCUUGCAAAUCUGACCACUUGUCUCCAUUGUACUGCAGUCUAUGUCCUGUUCCUUUGUUACUUACUCUCAUCAUGUUUCUUCCUUUCAUAACACCUAGUCGAUAGUUGGUAGGCAGUUGUAUCAGGCACAGCUAGUUGCCUGCUUAUCAUUCAUUUCCACCUUUCCCUUAGUAACAAAACCUGAAUUUUGUUCAGGUAUCUGCCCCUCCUCAUGUGACUUAAGAGAGAAUGGCCUUAUUUCCAUCUCACAGUAAAUCUCCUUGCCAAUGAUUAGUUAAGGGGUGGGCGUAUAACCAAGCUUGGGACUAUGAAACAAAAGAUGUGUGCCAGGUGGCUGUGGGGAUAGUAUUUCUUGCUGUUAAGAAGAAGAUUCAGAAGGAAACAGUCCAUUUUCUGCCUCUGCUCAUCAGAAUGAGCUACCUGGAACACUUCAGUCAUCCUGCUGCCAGCCUGUGGAUGGAGACCACAGAAAGAGGUGGGCAGCCCUGAGACAACUGCAAGCAAGUGGAGUCACCUUCCUGCCCAACUUCCCAUGACAGGUAGCAAAUGUCCGUACUGUUUUUGCCAAUCUGAGGUGAAGAUUUUCUAUUACUUGAAGCUGGAGCUAUCUUAAUGGACACAAUUUCAUCCUCAACUGUGUGAUCAUUUGAUUAAUAAAAAGAUCAGCCAUCCUCACCUCCCAGCUGAAUUCUAUCUAUGUCUGAUUUGCUCACUGUUGGAUCCUCUGUAUGGAGGAUCACGUCUGUACAUAUAGGAAUUCAGGGAAUAUUUGAUGAAUGAACGAAUGCCCUAGUCAUGCAAAUGGUAGAUGCACAUAUAACAAGAAGAGUAAUGACACAAAAUGAUGUUUGCUCAAUGCUAAUGACUGAGAGGAGGAGCCUGAAAGAGGAGUAAACCAAUGGUGGUCUGGUUGGCUGCAAUGAUCUUCAUAGGGGAGCUAAGCUCUGAGGCAAUCUUUCAGUACUGGCCGGAUGUGGACAGAAAGACAGAUGAAAAUGGCGGUAGCAGGUACCAGGCGAGGGUACACAAGGAAGGGAUCCAAGGGCAAGAGAGUAGAGUAGGAUUGAGCAUAUUUUGAUCAGCGCCUCAGCUCAAAAUUUAGAAGACCUUGUGAACUGAUGACAGAUGUUCCUGAAAGCUGCAUAUAGAGCGUGGACUCUUUCAGAGAGAAAUGGAGAAUCCUUAAAGAUUUUUGAGCAGGAGCAUGGCCUGAUGUUAUGCAUCUUGCUUCUACUUAACUCCUGGGUGGGGGUGGCUCUCAUUUUACAAUCUCCAAUUAUUGGAGAAAGAAAAGAGCCCUGUGUGUAUGAUUGUACAAUUAUACAUACAAUGGGUAAUGUAAUUAAAAAAAUCUUUCAUUUUAAGCUUUUAAAAGCAUGUCUCUCUAGAUGAAAUUGAAAGAAUAAUUGCAUACACGGUGUCUUACCUGUAGGCAGAUUUCAUAGUCAUUCAUUUUCAAAUAUCUGAUGUCAGUAAUUUAAGUAAGACUUCCAGAACAUUAUUCCUCUCUGCUACAAUGUCGGCCACUCGAUAAUUUCAAAUUGAUUCAUUGCUAUACCUAACGGAAAAAAUCGUUUUAAGUACUCUACCCAUUUUUCCUAAGGGAAAAUGCAUGGGGAGCCCACCAAUAGUUCUCCUGAUAUCAUGACUGGAUUUUAUGUGUAUUUUCCAUAUGUUUUCAAGGGAUUUGGAGAAGAGCUUUAAACAUCUUCAAAUGCUGGUUGGGGAAACCCAAUAUCUUUGGAAGUUAAACUACUUCGUGCCUUAAAAAUAGGAAUUUCACAAAUAAUUUUUUCUGGAAUGAUUUAUCUGGAGUAGUUACAAAUGCUUGUUAAUUUCUUUUUGCCAGUGUUUAGGACUUUUUAAUA